AGAGACAGCAGCCGCCGCGGGAAUACGAAGGGGGCUAGCGUUGUUCGGAUUAACUGGGCGUAAAGGGCGCGUAGGCGGGUUUUUAAGUCAGAGGUGAAAGCCCGGGGCUCAACCCCGGAAUAGCCUUUGAGACUGCAUAGCUUGAACACGGGAGAGGUGAGUGGAAUUCCGAGUGUAGAGGUGAAAUUCGUAGAUAUUCGGAAGAACACCAGUGGCGAAGGCGGCUCACUGGACCGUUGUUGACGCUGAGGUGCGAAAGCGUGGGGAGCAAACAGGAUUAGAUACCCCCGUAGUCCCUGUCUCUUAUAC
rnacentral:rRNA from 1 species